rnacentral:rRNA from 1 species
UCGGGAAUUUUGGGCAAUGGGCGAAAGCCUGACCCAGCAACGCCGCGUGAAGGAUGAAAUCCCUCGGGAUGUAAACUUCGCAAGAACGGGAAGAAUAAGCCGGUAUUAACACCACCGGUGAUGACGGUACUGUUUGUAAGCUCCGGCUAACUCCGUGCCAGCAGCCGCGGUAAUACGGGGGGAGCAAGCGUUGUUCGGAUUUACUGGGCGUAAAGGGCGCGUAGGCGGCCUCUGCAAGUCGACUGUGAAAUCUCCGGGCUUAACCCGGAAAGGUCAGCCGAUACUGCAGGGCUAGAGUGCAGAAGGGGCAACUGGAAUUCUCGGUGUAGCGGUGAAAUGCGUAGAUAUCGAGAGGAACACCUGCGGCGAAGGCGGGUUGCUGGGCUGACACUGACGCUGAAGUGCGAAAGCUAGGGGAGCGAACGGGAUUAGAUACCCCGGUAGUCCUAGCCUUAAACGAUGAAUGCUUGGUGUCUGGGGUUUUAUAGUCCCCGGGUGCCGUCGCUAACGCUUUAAGC